rnacentral:rRNA from 1 species
GAUGAACGCUGGCGGCGUGCUUAACACAUGCAAGUCGAACGAAGCACUUUGAAAGCUUGCUUUCAAAGUGACUGAGUGGCGGACGGGUGAGUAACGCGUGGGUAACCUGCCUUAUACAGGGGGAUAACAGUUGGAAACGACUGCUAAUACCGCAUAAGCGCACAGUGCCGCAUGGCACAGUGUGAAAAACUCCGGUGGUAUAAGAUGGACCCGCGUCUGAUUAGCUAGUUGGUGAGGUAACGGCACACCAAGGCGACGAUCAGUAGCCGGCUUGAGAGAGUGAUCGGCCACAUGGGGACUGAGACACGGCCCAAACUCCUGCGGGAGGCAGCAGUGGGGAAUAUUGCACAAUGGGGGAAACCCUGAUGCAGCAACGCCGCGUGAGUGAAGAAGUAUUUCGGUAUGUAAAGCUCUAUCAGCAGGGAAGAUAAUGACGGUACCUGACUAAGAAGCCCCGGCUAACUACGUGCCAGCAGCCGCCGUAAGAC